GGGGAAUUUUGGACAAUGGGCGCAAGCCUGAUCCAGCAAUGCCGCGUGCAGGAUGAAGGCCUUCGGGUUGUAAACUGCUUUUGUACGGAACGAAAAGCCUCUCUCUAAUACAGGGGGGUGAUGACGGUACCGUAAGAAUAAGCACCGGCUAACUACGUGCCAGCAGCCGCGGUAAUACGUAGGGUGCAAGCGUUAAUCGGAAUUACUGGGCGUAAAGCGUGCGCAGGUGGUGGUUUAAGUCCGUUGUGAAAGCCCUGGGCUCAACCUGGGAACUGCAGUGGAUACUGGAUCACUAGAGGGUGGCAGAGGGUAGUGGAAUUCCCGGUGUAGCAGUGAAAUGCGUAGAGAUGUGGAGGAACACCAAUGGCGAAGGCAGCCCCCUGGGUCGAUACUGACGCUCAUGCACGAAAGCGUGGGGAGCAAACA
rnacentral:rRNA from 1 species